AUGCAUUGGAAGGCAUUCUCUGUGCCAUUCUGUGGAGUAAGGAUAUGUCCUGUGAAGACCAGAAUGGCACAGAGAAUGCCUUCCAAUGCAUAUAUGCACCAAAAUGAACUCAAAAAAGACUUCUAAAUGGAUAUCAGUCCAUUGCUUAACUCCAUAUCAUUUAUGUAACCCACACAUUUGACUUUAAUGUUUCUAAUCACUUAUUGUGUAUGUCUUUUUAAAUAACUCUUGAAUAGCUUAAGGGAUCAUAUUCAUGUUUAGUAUGUGUGUGUUCGAAUCUUCUUGCUUGAAACGUUUCUGACCAUCAGUUAUUUGUCAAAUGUAUUAUAUUCUUGUUAUAGGAAUCAUAUGUCCAAAUUAUACCCUGCAAGAGCGGGAAAAUUCGGACCACGUGCUUGAUAAGAUAACGUAUGAUUUAUGAAUGGGUGGGACAAACAAUGCAACACACCGAGAAAAGACAAUAUCUAAUUGGUCAAGACAACAUUUGAGGUGUGGCCAAAAUGCCAGUUUAAAUACUCAGGACACCAUCAAAUUUUGCUUUUAGCUUUUAGCUUGCGUUUAGCUUUUGCUAUCAGUCAUGCCGGCUUUUAGCCUGCUUUUUGCUUUUGCUUUUAGCAUUCUUCGAGCGCCGUUCCAGCGUGCUUCGGCCUGCACGCCUGCUGCUUAGCCACGAUGAGAAGAAACACCACCUAGUCUCGUCAAACUUUACUUCUGUUCUUUUACUUUAGAUUAUUUUCUUUUCCAUUUGAGAGUUUGUGUUCUGAGUUAAGUUUUGUAACGCCGUGUCUCCGAGUCUGACCUCGCGUGCCCGUCUGAAACUUCAACCAGCCCACAACUCUGCAUCGUCAGCCAACGCCCAACCACGGGCUUCCCAAGACGUCACUUCAACGACCACUGAACUUCCAGCCAAUCAGCAACUUCGGGAAACCCCCUUGUCAGCAACAACAAAGGGAACCCCGUUACACAGGCAACGCAAGUAACCUCCAGACUCACAUCUGUACUGGUGUUAUCUAAUAUAAUUUUAACCUAAUUGAUGAACUCAAUGC
rnacentral:lncRNA from 1 species